AAUGUCGUAACAAGGUUUCCGUAGGUGAACCUGCGGAAGGAUCAUUACCUAGAGUUUGUGGACUUCGGUCUGCUACCUCUUACCCAUGUCUUUGGGCUACCUUCGUUUCCCUCGGCGGGUCCGCCCGCCGGUUUGGACAACAUUCAAACCCUUUGCAGUUGCAAUCAGCGUCUGAAAAAGCUUAAUAGUUACAA
rnacentral:misc_RNA from 1 species